rnacentral:rRNA from 1 species
AGAGUUUGAUCCUGGCUCAGAGUGAACGCUGGCGGCAUGCCCUAACACAUGCAAGUCGAACGGUAACAGGCCCGCAAGGGUGCUGACGAGUGGCGGACGGGUGAGGAAUACAUCGGAAUUGCCCUGUCGUGGGGGAUAACGUAGGGAAACUUACGCCUAAUACCGCAUACGACCUAACGGUGAAAGCGGGGGANCGCAAGACUCCCGCCGGCUGGAUAGCCGAUGUAGAUNGCUGUUGGCGGGUAAGGCCACAAGCAGAUCGUGCUGGUCGAGAGAUAUAGCCACACUGGACUGAGACACGCCCAGACUCCUACCGGAGGCAGCAGUGGGGGAGUAUUGGGACAAAUGGGGGGCCAACCCUGAAAUUCAGCCAACGGCCGGCGUGUGGUGAAGAAGGGCCCUCGGGGGUGAUAAGCACUUUUAGUCUGGAGCAAAC